UCUGGAAUGGAGACAAAAUAUAAAAGUUGAACCCCACCCAUUACCUCCUCUGCUUAGCCAAAUGCCUCCCCACCCCAAAAGUGGAACUGGGAGCAGAGCAGCAGUCCUUGGCAUGGGUCCUGGGCAUCAGAGUGGCACCAAUCUCUCUGACAGCUAGCAGGCCUAGAGCCCCAGUUCCCACACCUCCUUUGUCCCUGAUGGGCACCCUUCCCAGCCCAGAAGAGAAUUGCAGAGUGGGGGUUGGGGAGAUGAGCAGCCCUGAAGCUACUGGUCUUCUCAUGAAAAAACUGCUGACCAAUUGAGGAUGCUAAUCCUGAAUGUGUCUUUCUUGAGGGCACCUCUCUGUCGGCCUGAAUAGCUGUAAAUGGAAAUCACUGAGGUGGAAGACUUCAUUAUCGUUAUUAAUUAUGUUCCAGUCCUGGCCCUCUGUUCCUCUGAGCUCUGGGCCUGGGCAAGCAGCCCAGUCGAGAAGCUGUCCAGGCGAACCUCACCUGCAGCCCCAGCUUGCACAGUGAUGGGGUCAGCGAGGAGCACACAGGGGGCCCUUUUCCUGAACUGGUAAGAGCACCAGGCUGCAGGAUAAGUUCUCGGAGAGGAGUUCUCAUAGCUGGUUUUCCCUAAGAAAGAAAGAGAAUUUGGGUUAAGAUUGGGCUCCGCCAGCCCGCUCUUUCUCCCUCCCCAAGAAGCUUUGAGGUACUAAGAAGAGCGGAUUUCCAAUCCCAGUCUCGCUGAAGAGGCAAAGCGACAAAGACUCCAAUCACUCCCCAGCCCCAGCUCCAUCCAGCUUUCCAGGACCCUCAGCACCGCCAGCGCCCCCGCCCCAGUAUUCCGCACACAGUUCUUUCUCUGUGAGAGCUCUCCCGCUCACCGGCUGGGGCGAAGGCGACAGGCUGAUGUUUAACUUUUUCACCCGCCACAUCUUCAAAACUGAAAGCAGGUUGAUCACCUCCCAGACCAAGUCGAGUCCGCCAUAUUCACCCGCCGUCUUUAUUUGAACCUGCUUGGUGCUUCGGGAUUGGCUGCGGAGCCGCAGUGCGUCAGGAUACAGGACAGCUCUGGGCUUGAGCCCGGUGGGCGGAGCCAUCGUUGGCCACGCCCCUCCUUCCGCCCUGCAGUUGAUUUCUGACGUACUCUCGGCCGCAGAAGCCGGCAGCAGGGAGGACCCACAUCAGAUCCACGAUGGGUCCUGGAGUCUUGGUAUCCUCAAGUUGUGGGAGACACCCCAGAGUUUUACUACAUUGCCCAAGAUCGCCUCAAACUGAAUUCAAGUGAUCCUCUUCCCUCAGCUUCCAAAUAGCCCAGACUAUAGACAGCUCCACUAUGCCUGAAAAUAUAUCACUGAAGAGUAUGUUGAAAAUGUCCUCAUUUGGAAGUCUAAUGUGCUAUUCACUGCACCAUGGAGCCACCUAAAAAAAUGUCCUUAUUUGACCUGUUGGAAAUUCUUAUUGAGCCCCCACAUCAGACUAGGUGAAAAAGCAAUUAACUCUACCUUCACGUCUCGAUGGAUGAUGCCCACGUCAUGGAGAUAGCCUGUGGAUGACAGUAAGCAUGGGAUGUACUGAAGUUCUCCUGUUCCUUCCAGUUUCCCUGGUAACCCCUACUUUAUCUUUCUCCUUAUUCUUUGGCUUCCAGAGUUAAUAUCAAUUCUCUCCUCCCCAUCAACUUAAUUCUUCCCUUCCCAUUUCCCUUUCUUACUUACA